rnacentral:lncRNA from 1 species
AUCACUAUUAUACAUAGCAUAGGCAAGCCUAUAGGGCGCUUAAAAGUCAUGCAACUUUAAAACUAUGUUAUAUUAUCUAUGACUGCUCAUAUUCAAACAGGUCUAAAAUUAACAGGCAAGCUUAAUAGGUCUUUGACACUUUGGUCCUAAUUCAAUACUGUAUCAUCUUUACUCACCUAGAUAUCAAUCUCUAAGGUUUUAUCUUAAAUACUUGAAACUGUUGUUUGAGAUGUGCACUUACUUGUUAUGUUUGUGGAGGUAAAUGUGAGCCUUUAAUUGUUCUAUUUAAUGCAAUCCUAAUUGUUUUGACUGACGUCUAGAUUUUUAUCCUUUAAGUACUUUAAGAUGGUCUUGAACUACCUAAAUUAGAGGUCCUAAAUACCUUCAGGGCCACAAGGAUGGGACGGGUAGUGCACACAUAGGAUAUCUUUAAAGGUUGCUAGAACGCUUUAGGCUAUGACCAAAUGGAGGAAAUUGGGUAGUAAAGAUAUGAUGACUACACGCUAAUGUCACGUGUAGCCCCUCAUUAAGGAGUGAUUACCGGGCAUUUUGUGGGUAUGAUCCUAUAGCCUAACCAACCUAGGACCCCUUUUCCCAACUCCCGUUGUUUAAAUGAAUUUACUUUCUUUAUAUAUGUGCAAAUUGAUAUAACCUUUUUCCCUUGCUUUCGUCACUUCAAACAUACAUGUACUUAGAAUGUCAAAAACGUGCCUUUAUUUGCAAAUAUGUG